rnacentral:tRNA from 1 species
CCGCCCUUAGCUCAGCCCGGAUAGAGUACCGGAUUCCGAUUCCGUUGGUCGGGGGUUCGAAUCCCCCAGGGCGGGCCA